rnacentral:rRNA from 1 species
UACGGGGGGGGCAAGCGUUGUUCGGAAUUACUGGGCGUAAAGGGCUCGUAGGCGGCCAACUAAGUCAGACGUGAAAUCCCUCGGCUUAACCGGGGAACUGCGUCUGAUACUGGAUGGCUUGAGUUCGGGAGAGGGAUGCGGAAUUCCAGGUGUAGCGGUGAAAUGCGUAGAUAUCUGGAGGAACACCGGUGGCGAAGGCGGCACGCUGGACCUCUUCUGACGCUGAGGCGCGAAAGCCAGGGGAGCAAACGGG